GUGUACCACACGUUGUGUUUGAGGGAUGGGUGCUUCUCUGGUGUCCAAUCCUUGGAUUCUGCACACCUGAAAAGAGUGAAGUCAGCUUCUUUAUCUGCAUGGUCCUUUGCUCUGUUACUUCGUGAUGGUGAGAUGAAGUACUGAAGCUUUCCAUCCAAUUGGUCGACUCAUGGGCUGAAGCUUCAUGAUGUUUCAUUUGCUCUACUGUGCCAUCAAGUGGACAAUAAAUGUAAAACAAACAGUGAUUAUAAUGACAUGGAUGUGGUGUGCAAAGCUUUAAAUUGAAUAAAUGAAUGAUGUUUGUGAUGCCCACAUAUAAAUUCUGAA